rnacentral:rRNA from 1 species
UACGUAGGGAGCAAGCGUUGUCCGGAAUCAUUGGGUUUAAAGGGUCCGCAGGCGGGAAGAUAAGUCAGUGGUGAAAUCUCACAGCUCAACUGUGAAACUGCCAUUGAUACUGUCUUUCUUGAAUUCGAUCGAAGUGGGCGGAAUGUGACAUGUAGCGGUGAAAUGCUUAGAUAUGUCACAGAACACCGAUAGCGAAGGCAGCUCACUAGGUCUGGAUUGACGCUCAGGGACGAAAGCGUGGGGAGCAAACAGG